rnacentral:rRNA from 1 species
UACGUAGGUGGCAAGCGUUGUCCGGAAUUAUUGGGCGUAAAGCGCGCGCAGGCGGUCUUUUAAGUCUGAUGUGAAAGCCUUCGGCUUAACCGGAGAAGUGCAUUGGAAACUGGAAGACUUGAGUGCAGAAGAGGAGAGUGGAACUCCAUGUGUAGCGGUGAAAUGCGUAGAUAUAUGGAAGAACACCAGUGGCGAAAGCGGCUCUCUGGUCUGUAACUGACGCUGAGGUUCGAAAGCGUGGGUAGCAAGAAGG